GACGAACGCUGGCGGCGUGCCUAAUACAUGCAAGUAGAACGCUGAAGGGAGGAGCUUGCUCUUCUUGGAUGAGUUGCGAACGGGUGAGUAACGCGUAGGUAACCUGCCUUGUAGCGGGGGAUAACUAUUGGAAACGAUAGCUAAUACCGCAUAACAAUAGGUGACACAUGUCAUUUAUUUGAAAGGGGCAAUUGCUCCACUACAAGAAGGACCUGCGUUGUAUUAGCUAGUAGGUGAGGUAACGGCUCACCUAGGCGACGAUACAUAGCCGACCUGAGAGGGUGGUCGGCCCAACUGGGACUGAGACACGGCCCAGACUCCUACGGGAGGCAGCAGUAGGGAAUCUUCGGCAAUGGGGGCAACCCUGACCGAGCAACGCCGCGUGGGUGAAGAAGGUUUUCGGAUCGUAAAGCUCUGUUGUAAGUCAAGAACGAGUGUGAGAGUGGAAAGUUCACACUGUGACGGUAGCUUACCAGAAAGGGACGGCUAACUACGUG
rnacentral:rRNA from 1 species